AAGUUAUAACAUUCAAACCUGGGCUUAGGCCAUUCGAGGGAAUAAUCGAAAGGGCAAACCAAAAAUCAGCCGAGUGGUGGUUCUGAAGUCCGCCCCUAAGUACAAUUACUUCUAUUAUGGACCAGCGUACUCAGUCAAGUACGUUCUACGACAAUCUCGUGCCUAAAGCAGGUCCCAAGGAGGUAUCCAAACUUAGAAAUCAUCAUGAUGGAAUUUUAUUCCAAAUGAGCUCUGAUACGUGAAAAUUCUUUAGAUAAGUUAGCAAUGUAUAAUUUGAUCGGAAUGACUCAAGUACGAUGCAUAUAGGGUCUAAAAAAUGAUUCUAAAGGUGUUUUCAUCUCACGUGCAAGCAAUCAAGUUCCUUAUGAAACUUUUGUUUAAGGUUCACUAGAACGAACAUGAAAUUCGGACAAGGAAAGAAGCCCCUUCAUGGUGACACAUUACGAUCAUUAAAAUCCACAACCUAGAAUGAAACACGGUGAACGAACAAACUAAUACAAAGUCAUGCCUGAAGAAAAAAUUUGUCUCAAACACUUAGAUUAACCUUCUGUAAGUGUUAGCAAUUAUUGCUUAGCCAACAAGGCAAUUGAAACAAGUCGGCUUGACAUUGAGAUCUGGUUAAUAACUUUCUCAUCCUUAAUCCGAUCAAUGCAUCACAAGUCUUAGAGUGCAAGAUUUUCCAUAGGUCUUAGACCUUGAGUCGGAAUAGGGUGGUAUUCCGACUAUCACGGUGAAAAUCUAUAUAAACGAUGAGUUUGGGAGUGACAUUUUUUACUUCAAUGUUGUCAAGGGAAAACAGGACUCAGGCCUAUACGCUUGUUCGUGUUUAACUCCGAGUUCAUUUACUCUGGAAAGAUUGUCUUAAAUCUUAUUUCGCUAUAAUGAAGUGAAGAAUGAAAAGUUCCAAGUAUUUUACUCUAAUAAGAUCAACUAUUUGAGUAGAUAACAUUUAGCAAAAGUGUGUGGGAACAUUUUUAAUUAUUACGUAAAAUAAUAGAAGUCUCAUGAAUGGUACAAAACGCGUACAAUUUCGGGAGAGAAAAGCCCUCACUCCUGGCGGAAAAUUUCUUUAAGUGCAUAAAGAAAGCAGUGCAAUUCUUUUCCAACGGAGAUGCUUGUCGUUUCAACACUCAUAAUCUGCCUUAGAUGGAUGCCAAAAAGGGCUUCAAUGAAGAAGAACCAUUUAAAAAUCUUGACACAUUGCUCGAAUUGAACCUGUAUGCGUAGACUACGAGGAUGAUGUCACUUAUAGUUGGGAAAUAGAGCGCGAAAGCUAAGAAGGAGAAACCUGACAAGGGAAGGAAGUUCAUUUUCAAGAAGUUGUAGCUCAUCCAUAUCCUAUUCAACAAUUCCUGAUAGCAACGGAUAAGAGUGUUGUAAGUUUCUUGGUUGCAUAUCCUGAUCAUUGAAGGCUUAAAGUGAGUAUUAGAAUCGAUGUUGAAGCGUGGAAAACACUAAGAAGAGCUGAAGAAUGUAUAGGACACAACUAGAAAAUAUCAUUUUGCCGACAAAUUCUAAGCUGACAAAAUAAAAUUUUGUCGCCACAAAACACCUACCUCAAUGAAAAUUUUAAUUUGUAGGCUCAUAGCCGUUGAAUUUGUGCCGACAAUAUUUUCGUUGGCGAAAAAUAUUUAUACCGACAAAUAAAAUGACACUCGGGAAAGCAUGCAAGUCUAUUGUCUCUGACAAUCAGAAGAUGGGUCAGGAAGAGUGACUAGUCUCGAGUCAUUGGUGUGUGUGACAUCAAGACAAGCAUGUUGGUGCUUAAUAAUGAAUGAGUCCACUGAACACGAUCAACGAGGAGUUCUUAUACUCAUGUCACAUGAGAACUCAUGGUUGGGAUAAUGCAAAGUAGUCCUUUGACCUGAGGCAUCAUAGUUGUCGUGUGGUUAAGUCCUUGAUCUUUGAUUAUGUCAAAGUCACUCCAUUAGGAGGGUGUCCACGGCAUCGUCGGGGUUAAGCCACUUAGCCAUAGAGGCAAGUGAAUGCGCAACAAGGGAUCUCUAACCUUCAAAUCGUUUGGGGGAGAAUACUCUAUGAUAUGAUUAAGAAUCUCUAGCCAGAGUAUGAAUGAGAUUUAGGAAGUCGUUCCAAAUAACAUUCAAGGUAAUCAUAUAAGCACACAAAUCACAUUGGAUAGUAGACAUGAAUAAAAUAUCAAACCAAACAAUGUGGUCAAGAGUAUUGUAUUAGAGAAAGACCGUAUUGCAUUUGUAAUCCUAAACUGAAUAGGUUCUCCACCUCUUCUGAUUAGCUUGGGUAACCAUGAUAUGCUGCUAGGUGC
rnacentral:lncRNA from 1 species